rnacentral:pre_miRNA from 1 species
CAAAUUUGUCCUAAGUCAAGCAUUUCUAACUUUGACCAAGUUUUAGAAAAAAAUAUGUUAGCAUGUACAAGUUCAAAUAAAUACACUAUCAAGACAUAUUUCAUAGAGAAUUUAGUGAAACUAGUUUGAUAUUGUAGAUAUUGAUUCAAUUUUCUAUGAAUUUGGUCAAAGUUAGAGAAGACUUAGGACAAAGCUAA